rnacentral:rRNA from 1 species
AGUGAACGCUGGCGGUAGGCCUAACACAUGCAAGUCGAACGGCAGCACAGUAAGAGCUUGCUCUUACGGGUGGCGAGUGGCGGACGGGUGAGGAAUACAUCGGAAUCUACUUUUUCGUGGGGGAUAACGUAGGGAAACUUACGCUAAUACCGCAUACGUCCUACGGGUGAAAGCAGGGGAUCUUCGGACCUUGCGCGAUUGAAUGAGCCGAUGUCGGAUUAGCUAGUUGGCGGGGUAAAGGCCCACCAAGGCGACGAUCCGUAGCUGGUCUGAGAGGAUGAUCAGCCACACUGGAACUGAGACACGGUCCAGACUCCUACGGGAGGCAGCAGUGGGGAAUAUUGGACAAUGGGCGCAAGCCUGAUCCAGCCAUACCGCGUGGGUGAAGAAGGCCUUCGGGUUGUAAAGCCCUUUUGUUGGGAAAAAAAAGCAGCAGGUUAAUACCCCGCUGUUCUGACGGUACCCAAAGAAUAAGCACCGGCUAACUUCGUG